AACGAACGCUGGCGGCAGGCUUAACACAUGCAAGUCGAGCGCCUCGCAAGGGGAGCGGCAGACGGGUGAGUAACGCGUGGGAACGUACCCUUUACUACGGAAUAACUCAGGGAAACUUGUGCUAAUACCGUAUGUGCCCUUUGGGGGAAAGAUUUAUCGGUAAAGGAUCGGCCCGCGUUGGAUUAGCUAGUUGGUGGGGUAAAGGCCUACCAAGGCGACGAUCCAUAGCUGGUCUGAGAGGAUGAUCAGCCACAUUGGGACUGAGACACGGCCCAAACUCCUACGGGAGGCAGCAGUGGGGAAUAUUGGACAAUGGGCGCAAGCCUGAUCCAGCCAUGCCGCGUGAGUGAUGAAGGCCUUAGGGUUGUAAAGCUCUUUCACCGGUGAAGAUAAUGACGGUAACCGGAGAAGAAGCCCCGGCUAACUUCGUGCCAGCCGCCGCGGUAA
rnacentral:rRNA from 1 species